rnacentral:tRNA from 1 species
UGUCUCAGUAGCUCAAUUGGAUAGAGCAUCCCCCUCCUAAGGGGAAGGUUGGCAGUUCGAACCUGCCCUGGGACACCAU